CCCCGGGGGGUAUAGCCUGAAGUAACGGCGAAGUGAAGCGGCAAAAGCUCAAAUUUUGAAAUCUGGCACCUUCGGUGUCCGAGUUGUAAUUUUGAAGAAGGUAACUUUGGAGUUGGCUCUUGUCUAUGUUCCUUGGAACAGGACGUCACAGAGGGUGAGAAUCCCGUGCGAUGAGAUGCCCAAUUCUAUGUAAAGUGCUUUCGAAGAGUCGAGUUGUUUGGGAAUGCAGCUCUAAGUGGGUGGUAAAUUCCAUCUAAAGCUAAAUAUUGGCGAGAGACCGAUAGCGAACAAGUACAGUGAUGGAAAGAUGAAAAGAACUUUGAAAAGAGAGUGAAAAAGUACGUGAAAUUGUUGAAAGGGAAGGGCUUGAGAUCAGACUUGGUAUUUUGCGAUCCUUUCCUUCUUGGUUGGGUUCCUCGCAGCUUACUGGGCCAGCAUCGGUUUGGAUGGUAGGAUAAUGACUAAGGAAUGUGGCUCUACUUCGGUGGAGUGUUAUACCCAUGGUUGAUACUGCCUGUCUAGACCUAGGACUGCCUCUUUUGACUACGAAGGUGGUCUCCUGAUGGUUUCUCUACCCCUCCUUAAGGGGAAAAACAAAAAAAAAAUUAAUUUUAUGGAAGAGGGGGGGUUUUCCUCGAGGGGCGUGUGUUAGAUCUCGAGGUGCGAUGUCGUCGAGUAGGUGUGCGCGUGGAGU
rnacentral:rRNA from 1 species